rnacentral:rRNA from 1 species
AGAAUCAACGCUGGCGGCGUGCCUAACACAUGCAAGUCGAACGAGAAAGUGGAGCAAUCCAUGAGUACAGUGGCGUACGGGUGAGUAACACGUGACUAACCUACCCUCGAGUGGGGAAUAACCUCGGGAAACCGGGGCUAAUACCGCAUAACAUCUACGGAUCAAAUGCGUAAGCAGCUUGAGGAGGGGGUCGCGGCUGAUUAGCUAGUUGGCGGGGUAAUGGCCCACCAAGGCGGUGAUCAGUAGCCGGCCUGAGAGGGCGCACGGCCACACUGGAACUGAAACACGGUCCAGACUCCUACGGGAGGCAGCAGUGGGGAAUUUUGCGCAAUGGGGGAAACCCUGACGCAGCAACGCCGCGUGGAGGAUGAAGCCCCUCGGGGUGUAAACUCCUUUCGAUCGGGACGAUUAUGACGGUACCGGAUGAAGAAGCACCGGCUAACUCUGUGCCAGCAGCCGC